UACAACAGUUAUCAGCUUAUCCUCAGAUCAAGAGAGAUGAUGGAAUGAAAUGAUUAAGAACACCAGCUCCAGGUGCACAGAGACCUCGGUACAAAUCCAGGCUCUUCUACUAAGCAACAACCCUAUUGCAGCAUCGAUCAUUCUGAAAAUGAUAGAGAAAUUCCUCUUUCAACUUUGAAGUUGAUAUAUUAUGUAAUAUACAUAGUAAUUGUACUAUUACAUAGUGCUAUGUAGUAUGUUACAUAGUAAUUAUACAGUAUUAUAUGGAAAGUCCAUCCGCUAGCUGGCCAAACAUGAAGUAUGGGUCCAAGUCUUACUUCUACAACUAAGAGCGGGAGGAAGGGCAACGCUGGCAGAUGAGGUCAAGAAUUUUCCCUGCUGCUUCUCAAGCACUGUCUUCAACAUGGUCUCCAGGAAAAAAUAAAUAAAGAAGCAAAGUUUCCUCCUUGACUUCUAACUGGAAUUUAAAGAAAUUCCCCAAGAGAUCAUAAACCUGCAGAAUUGCCUCUCAGUUCCCUCAGGGCUUGGAAAUUUCCCAUCAUUACAUUUUUCCAAGAUGCA